UAUCUAUAUAGUAUAAAAAUUAUAAUUGACUUCCAAUCAAUUGAUCUAAAUAAAUUAGUAUAGAUAA
rnacentral:tRNA from 1 species